rnacentral:rRNA from 1 species
UACGAGGGGAGCAAGCGUUGUUCGGAUUUACUGGGCGUAAAGGGCGCGUAGGCGGCCACGACAAGUCACUUGUGAAAUCUCCGGGCUUAACUCGGAACGGUCAAGUGAUACUGUCGGGCUAGAGUACAGAAGGGGCAACUGGAAUUCUCGGUGUAGCGGUGAAAUGCGUAGAUAUCGAGAGGAACACCUGCGGCGAAGGCGGGUUGCUGGGCUGAUACUGACGCUGAGGCGCGAAAGCCAGGGGAGCAAACGGG